rnacentral:rRNA from 1 species
GGUCCGUAGGUGACCUGCGGAAGGAUCAUUCA